UAACCUGGUUGAUCCUGCCAGUAGUCAUAUGCUUGUCUCAAAGAUUAAGCCAUGCAUGUCUAAGUAUAAGUUCUGUACUGCGAAACUGUGAAUGGCUCAUUAUAACAGUUAUUAUUCCCUGGCCGGUCAGUGAUUCCUUGGAUACCCAUGGUAAUUCUAGAGCUAAUACAUGCUUAAAAACCCGACUUCUUGAAGGGUUGCGCUUAUUAGAUACCGAACCAACCCAGGCUCCGUCUGGUUUUCGUUGAUUCAUAGUGUUCUGGCGAAUCGACUCGCAAGAGUCGAUGAGGCUAUCAAGUUUCUGACCUAUCAGCUUCCGACGGUAGGAUAUUGGCCUACCGUGGCUUUGACGGGUAACGGAGAAUUAGGGUUCGAUUCCGAAGAGGGAGCCUGAGAAACGGCUACCACAUCUAAGGAAGGCAGCAGGCGCGUAAAUUACCCAAUCCUGACACAGGGAGGUAGUGACAAGAAAUAUCAAUAUAAGACGUUUCUGUCUUGUAAUUGGGAUGAGCGAAACAUAAACCGCUUCUCGAGUAUCAAUUGGAGGGCAAGUCUGGUGCCAGCAGCCGCGGUAAUUCCAGCUCCAAUAGCGUAUAUUAAAAUUGUUGCGGUUAAAACGCUCGUAGUUGGAUAUCUGCCAAGGAGUUUCGGUCCUCCCCAGUGGAGAAUACGCGGAACAUUUCUUGGCACUUGUUCAGGGAAGGUGUUUGCACUUUGUUGUGCGUCACGUGAUCUGAAUUUUUACUUUGAGGAAAUGAGAGUGUUUCAAGCAGGCUUUUGCCAUGAAUAUGAUAGCAUGGAAUAAUAGCACAGGACCGCCGACUGGAGAUUGGAGUCGUCAGUCCUUGACGUCUUCAGCAUCCUGAGAGAAAAUCUAAGUCUUUGGGCUCCGGGGGGAGUAUGGUCGCAAGGCUGAAACUUAAAGGAAUUGACGGAAGGGCACCACCAGGAGUGGAGCCUGCGGCUUAAUUUGACUCAACACGGGGAAACUUACCAGGUCCAGACAUAGAUAGGAUUGACAGACUGAUAGCUCUUUCUUAAUUCUAUGGGUGGUGGUGCAUGGCCGUUCUUAGUUGGUGGAGUGAUUUGUCUGGUUAAUUCCGUUAACGAACGAGACCUUAACCUGCUAAAUAGUCUCCAAAACUUCGGUUUUCGGCUUACUUCUUAGAGGGACUUCGUGUGUUUAACAUGAGGAAGUUUGAGGCAAUAACAGGUCUGUGAUGCCCUUAGAUGUCCUGGGCUGCACGCGCGCUACACUGAUGUGUCCAGUAAGCACCUAACCUCAUCCGAAGGGAUCGGGUAACCUUUGCAACGCACAUCGUGAUGGGGAUAGAUUAUUGCAAUUAUUAGUCUUGAACGAGGAAUUCCUAGUAAGCACAAGUCAUCAGCUUGUGUUGAUUACGUCCCUGCCCUUUGUACACACCGCCCGUCGCUCCUACCGAUUGAAUGGUCCGGUGAAUACUUCGGACUGUGAAAUGUUUAGUUUCUAUCCAUUUCACGGAAAGUUGAAUAAACCUUAUCAUUUAGAGGAAGGAGAAGUCGUAACAAGGUUUCCGUAGGUGAACCUGCAGAAGGAUCA
rnacentral:rRNA from 1 species